rnacentral:rRNA from 1 species
AACGUAGGACACGAGCGUUAUCCGGAGUUACUGGGCGUAAAGGGCGUUUAGGCGGGUGAUUAAGUUCGCUAUGAAAGCGCCAGGCUAAACCUGGCGAGGCUGGCGGAUACUGGUCAUCUGGAGUAAGGGAGAGGGAGGUAGAAUUCCGCGUGUAGUGGUGAAAUGCGUAGAGAUGCGGAGGAAUACCAGUGGCGAAGGCGGCCUCCUGGCCCUUAACUGACGCUGAAGCGCGAAAGCAUGGGGAGCGAACGGG